rnacentral:tRNA from 1 species
GCACUUAUAGCUCAGUUGGAUAGAGCACUCGGCUACGAACCGGGGUUUUGCGGGGGUUCGAGUCCCUCUAGGUGCACCA